CCUACGGGAGGCAGCAGUGAGGAAUAUUGGUCAAUGGCCGCAGGGCUGAACCAGCCAAGUCGCGUGAGGGAUGACGGUCCUAUGGUUUGUAAACCUCUUUUGUCAGGGAGCAAAGGGAGCAACGUGUGGCGUUUUGUGAGUACCUGAGGAAAAAGCAUCGGCUAACUCCGUGCCAGCAGCCGCGGUAAUACGGAGGAUGCAAGCGUUAUCCGGAUUUAUUGGGUGUAAAGGGAGCGUAGAUGGUUGUGCAAGUCUGCGGUGAAAGCCCGUGGCUCAACCGGGGAACUGCGGUGGAAACUGGAUAGCUUGAGUACUGGUGAGGUAGGCGGAAUGCGUGGUGUAGCGGUGAAAUGCGUAGAGAUUAGGAGGAACACCGGUGGCGAAGGCAGCCUGCUGGACAGAAACUGACGUUGAGGCACGAAAGCGUGGGGAGCAAACAGGAUUAGAUACCCGGGUAGUC
rnacentral:rRNA from 1 species